CUCCGGCUAGUGUGCGCCUUUGCGAGCACAGGGCGAAUACGCAUGCGCAUUGACAGGGCGCCGGCAGCGGAGCCUGAGCGUUCGCCUGGGUUGGUCCCCUGGUGCAGUAAAGCAGUGCUGAACCCACCAGUACAGCCACAAGUCUGUUCUUUUGAGCAGAUAUGUUUGAAAAGAAGAGCAGAGUUUGCUGAUCUUGUCGGAAUGGAGUUAAAAUUAUCAUGCUGGAAGGCCCUUAAAUGUUGCAACUAGAGAAAAUUCAACCAGCUUUUAAGGGACACAAAAGCACAACUCCUCCGGCAGCUGCAAGGAUUGGAACUGUUCCUUUGCUCCUGGUCUAACCUGACUAUAGAGCUUUGUGUCCCUAAGCAAUUUAAUAGGACUAGAAAGCAGCAAUCAAUUUUGGCUUCCUCUUUGACAAAGAAGUUGGUCUUGCAUAUUUUUCUUUGCUUUCGCAUCGAAUGCCAGAGAACAGAGAAAGGGUCCGGCUGUUGCGCGAGUACACGUUCUAUGCCUGGAAAUGCAUCUUCCAUCUCAAUGCCUACUUUCUUUCUCUGGCCUUUAAAUAAUUUCUUGUAUUCUGCCUUCAUUCGACUGCAAGUUUCCGAAUAUGUUAGACACCUGCAGAUCUUGAAUCUCUUUCAGAGCUCCUGGUAAACAAGGGAAUUUGUUCCAGUGAAAAGUGGACUGAUUCAUUUCCCCAGCCUCCAGGCAUAAUCCUGGCAUUUUGGACACAUGAAUACAAUGGCAGCUUGCCACCUGCUUCAUUUAUUCACUUGACAUUCAGUGCUCCUCAGUCCUUACAAAUGGGCUCUUUGUGCAACCUUCUGUGGUAAUGUAAAAGGUCCCCUGCAGGAAUUUGUGUGUAUGUCUAUUCUGUAGGAAAUAUAAAAGAGAGGGUUGUAAAUACUCUUGAUUGCUUUUGAGCAUAGAUAUGUUGUCUUUACAAUGUAUUAUGUAACUAUGCAACUCCCAUAAAUCCCUUUUUAUCCCAUGGAGGCUAUCUUAA